UCUAAGAGCAGACGCACGUCGUUCAUGUAGCAACUUUGGACCACACGGGAAAGUGUAAAUCCAACGAAAAGUGGCUGUCCAACCAAGAUUUAUCUUCACGGCUGAAAGCGGUACCAGGUAGUGUGUACGAGGCACGGUGUAUUUUGUGCAAGAAAUGUUUCAAACUCGGCACGAUGGGAGUGAAGGCAGGGGAGUCACAUAUGUCAAUGUGGGUCAAAUGAGGGAGCUGGAGCUUUAUUCCGUGCUGUGUUCCCAGACUCUGACAUUGCCCACUCGUUUGCGUACGGUUCCGACCAGACGGCCUACAUCAGCUAGUUUGGAUUAGCCCCGUACAUUUCAGAGCAGCUUGUUGCGGAUGCUAACAAGGACGCGUUCGUUUUAAUGUUUGGCGAGAGCCUCAACCAGACCACGAAAACAAAACAACUGGAUCUGCAUAUCCGCUAUUGGUGCGAAGAUCACGUCCAGUCAAGAUAUUCGGGGUCGCAGUUGAUGGGACAUGGAACAGCUGAGGAUUUACUACGCCAUUUCAAAGAAGGUGCCAAGGACCUGGAUAGGCGUAAGCUGCUGUCCGUCUCCAUGGAUGAACCAAACGUUAAUUGGAAGUUCCUGGAGCUACUGCAGCGAGAACAUAUUGCAACUGAAGGAAUUUUGCCUGGAGGUGUGGUCAAAGAAAAAAAAUAACUUUUCACCAGACCAAAAAGUCAUGUUUUAUCUUAAAAUAAACAUUUGGGUAAAAUUGUCCCUAACCCUA